rnacentral:rRNA from 1 species
UACAGAGGGUGCAAGCGUUGUCCGGAAUCACUGGGCGUAAAGGGCGCGUAGGCGGCCUGGUAAGUCGGGGGUGAAACGCUGCGGCUCAACCGCAGCACUGCCUUCGAGACUGCCUGGCUUGAGCACGGUAGAGGCUGGUGGAAUUCCCGGUGUAGCGGUGGAAUGCGUAGAGAUCGGGAGGAACACCAGUGGCGAAGGCGGCCAUCUGGAUCAACACUGACGCUGAGGCACGAAAGCGUGGGGAGCAAACAGG